AUGGAAGACUCUCCUGCUACUUAUAUCCACUUGGUGCACCGUUUGAUAGAAGAGUGUAUGUUAUUCAACAUGAGCCAAGAAGAAUGCAUGGAGGCUCUUUCCAAGCAUGCAAAUAUCAAACCAGUUAUCACCUCCACUGUUUGGAAAGAGUUAGAGAAAGAGAAUAAGGAGUUCUUUGAGGCAUAUUUGAAGAACAGAGUAGAGAGAGCUUCAGAGACAGAGACGAGGCAAAGGAUACAAAACAUGGUUUUGGAUUUUUCUAAAUAA